CAGCAGCCGCGGUAAUACAGAGGAUGCAAGCGUUAUCCGGAAUGAUUGGGCGUAAAGCGUCUGUAGGUGGCUUUUCAAGUCCGCCGUCAAAUCCCAGGGCUCAACCCCGGACAGGCGGUGGAAACUACCAAGCUGGAGCACGGUAGGGGCAGAGGGAAUUUCCGGUGGAGCGGUGAAAUGCGUAGAUAUAUGGAGGAACACCGGUGGCGAAAGCGGCUCUCUGGCUUGUAACUGACGCUGAGGCUCGAAAGCGUGGGGAGCAAACAGGAUUAGAUACCCGUGUAGUCCCUGUCUCUUAUAC
rnacentral:rRNA from 1 species